rnacentral:rRNA from 1 species
UACGUAGGUGGCGAGCGUUGCCCGGAUUUAUUGGGCGUAAAGCGCGUGCAGGCGGCCUGUUAAGUCCGUUGUGAAAGCUCCCGGCUCAACUGGGAGAGGUCUUCGGAUACUGGCAGGCUCGAGGGAGGUAGAGGAAGGUGGAAUUCCCGGUGUAGUGGUGAAAUGCGUAGAGAUCGGGAGGAACACCAGUGGCGAAGGCGGCCUUCUGGGCCUUUCCUGACGCUGAGACGCGAAAGCGUGGGGGGCGAACCGG